rnacentral:rRNA from 1 species
GUCGCAGCGAGAACGGGUUAAGUUUGCUUUAACUGUCAGCUAAGUGGCGCACGGGGGAGUAAUAUAUAGGUAACAUGCCUUCGAGAAGGAGAUAACGUUUGGAAACGAACGCUAAUACCCUAUAUGCCUUUAAGGCUUAAGUCUGCAAGGGAAAUAUUUAUAGCUCGAAGAUUGGCCUGUACAGUAUCAGUUAGUUGGUGGGGUAAUGGCUCACCAAGACAAUGACGCUUAACUGGUUUGAGAGGAUGAUCAGUCACACUGGAACUGAGACACGGUCCAGACUCCUACGGGAGGCAGCAGUGGGGAAUAUUGCACAAUGGACGAAAGUCUGAUGCAGCAACGCCGCGUGGAGGAUGACACAUUUCGGUGCGUAAACUCCUUUUAUAUAGGAAGAUAAUGACGGUACUAUAUGAAUAAGCACCGGCUAACUCCGUGCCAGCAGCCGCGGUAAUACGGAGGGUGCAAGCGUUACUCGGAAUCACUGGGCGUAAAGAGAAUGUAGGCGGGUAGAUAAGUCAGAAGUGAAAUCCAAUAGCUCAACUAUUGAACUGCUUUUGAAACUGUUUACCUAGAAUAUGGGAGAGGUAGAUGGAAUUUCUGGUGUAGGGGUAAAAUCCGUAGAGAUCAGAAGGAAUACCGAUUGCGAAGGCGAUCUACUGGAACAUUAUUGACGCUGAGAUUCGAAAGCGUGGGGA